rnacentral:misc_RNA from 1 species
GAUGAAGAACGCAGCGAAAUGCGAUACGUAAUGUGAAUUGCAGAAUUCAGUGAAUCAUAGAGUCUUUGAACGCACAUUGCGCCCCCUGGUAUUCCGGGGGGCAUGCCUGUCCGAGCGUCAUUGCUGCCCUCAAGCACGGCUUGUGUGUUGGGCCUCCGUCCUCCUCCCGGGGGACGGGCCCGAAAGGCAGCGGCGGCACCGCGUCCGGUCCUCGAGCGUAUGGGGCUUCGUCACCCGCUCUUGUAGGCCCGGCCGGCGCUUGCCGACACAUCAAUCUUUUUUCCAGGUUGACCUCGGAUCAGGUAGGGAUACCCGCUGAACUUAAGCAUAUCAAUAAGCGGAGGA